rnacentral:rRNA from 1 species
ACCGGCAGCUCAAGUGGUAGCUGUUUUUAUUGGGCCUAAAGCGUUCGUAGCCGGUUUGAUAAGUCUUUGGUGAAAGCUUGUAGCUUAACUAUAAGAAUUGCUGAAGAUACUGUCAGACUUGAAGUCGGGAGAGGUUAGAGGUACUACCGGGGUAGGGGUGAAAUCCUAUAAUCCUGGGAGGACCACCUGUGGCGAAGGCGUCUAACUGGAACGAUCUUGACGGUGAGUAACGAAAGCCAGGGGCGCGAACCG